AGAUCUUUGUGGGCUACACUCGGCCUUGUCUCAGGAUGAGGUCCUGAGCCCUAGGACCAUGCCUCAGGACCUGGCAUGAUGACUCCUUGCUGUCCCCAGUCCACCUGGCCAUGCUGCUGCUCCAGUUUCAACUGUUCUGCCUGUGGCUAUGGAAUCCUGACCUGUUCACCGGACGUGCUACCUGUCCCAGACCUAUUAUUUGACCAUGAAAGAACGGUUAGUGCAUCAUGCCAAACUGACCACCUGGUGCCAGAGUGUUCCUGUGCUGCGGUGGAGAAGAGGUCCAGCGGGACCAUCACCAAAGAGCUCAGGGCCCAGCUAGAUUGCGCUCAGAACCAUCAGUAUACAAUCGAGUCCUGCCCCUAUACGCCACAGAUGGAGCUGACGGAGAGUGAGAUCAGUGAAGACCAUAACUCGCUGUAUGGACCUGAGAGCUCAGAAUCACAAUCAUCUCAGUGUGAGCCAAGAUAUACUAUCGAUCACUUUGGGGGAGCGGGAUGGUGUUCUGAAAAUGGAGAAGGAGCAGGCCAUUCAACAGCCAAUUCAAAGAUACACCCAUCCAUAAAGGGAAUCCGAGUGGAAUUGUUUUUCCACAUAUAUAUAUUUUUUUACCCAUUUCAAUGGAUGUGCUACCUUGUCCCAGUUCUGCUUUUUCGACUCUCUCUCUCAACCUAUGAACGCUCAGCUAGGAAAAGCCAAUUGACAUUUGCUCCUGAGGUGUUGAACUGUUACACCCUCUGUAAUCACUGUGGUUAUUAUUUCUGAUGUAAAAAGGGCUUUUGGACAAAUAUAUUUGAUUGAUUGAUUGUUUGCUGUGC
ensembl:lncRNA